rnacentral:rRNA from 1 species
GACGAAGGGGGCUAGCGUUGUUCGGAAUUACUGGGCGUAAAGCGCGUGUAGGCGGUUGUUCAAGGCAGGUGUGAAAGCCUUGAGCUCAACUCAAGAAAUGCACUUGAUACUGGAUGACUAGAGGACCGGAGAGGAUAGUGGAAUUCCCAGUGUAGUGGUGAAAUACGUAGAGAUUGGGAAGAACACCAGUGGCGAAGGCGGCUAUCUGGACGGUUUCUGACGCUAAGACGCGAAAGCGUGGGGAGCAAACAGG